rnacentral:lncRNA from 1 species
UGAAGAUUCCUAGAAGAAGUUAUUGUCAAAAUACUGAAGGCUGCGCAGAAGUCAAACAGACACACGGAAAUCAACUCUGCAGAUCUCCCGAAGAGGCUCCUUCACAUUAGCACGUGAAAAUACUUUUGUUUCAUGUUUUACCUUGCUAAGGCUGGUUGUUACUAGUAUAAAUACCUCCUAUGUCUAUGAUGUAAAGCAGCUUUUGAUAAUCUAAAACAGAACCCCUUUGUUCAGCUGUGUGCUAACAAAUAUUGAGAGUGAUCUCUACCCCUUUGCUCUUGUGAAUUCCUUCACGGGAUUGCAGAAGCGGCGGCUUCAUCCACUCCCAAGUGGUGCUUCUACUCCCUUCGAGGUCUCCUCGAUUGAUUGUAGGUUGUGUUGGUUGGUUCUUUGAGAGUGUGGUUGGGCGAAUCCUCGAUUCAGGUUGCCGGUUAAAGACGGUGGUUGGUUUCGAGUUUUAUUUGUCAGGUUGCACUAGUUAUCGCUGCUUGCAGCAAGUUAUCUUAGCUUCUUCGAAGCUAGUUAUCUGAAGAUUUAUCCUACGUCGUGAAGAUCGGGCAUUGUGACGCAUCACAUGGUAUAGGUAAAAUUAACAUCAUACCAAACAUGAGUACAAACUAUAUAAUAAUAAUGUACGCGUUGCUACGAGAUCGUUGGUUCGAGAAUCACUACAAUCGGAGUCAUGGUUGAAAAGGUAUGGUUUUCAGAAGACCCAUGCAGUUUAAGGAGUUAAAACUAGACCUUAUGUUGAUUUAAUAGAUCAUGUGAGAAAAUAAUCUAAAUAAAUAAUUAAUUCAACUUUUAAGUUAAAUUAUAAUAUAAUUAGGGAUCAUAUUUUAUCCAAACUAUAAUUAUAAACAGAUUAACUUUGAUUUAGAGAGGUUAAUAUACUAAACAUAGGUUAAAUAAAUAUCUAACUAUAAAAAUAUGAGAUAUGAUAUAACCAAUGCUAUUACAGCAUAGUGAAUAUUUAUACAAAGUUAGGCAAGUGGAACGGGUCAAUUCAGAGUUAAAAUGGAUUUAAUAUGAAUUAUCUAAAUUUCUAUACAUUUUUAUAUUUAAUUUUUAUACAUUAAAUAGUUUCCAGGACUAAACUGCAAAAGCCAGGGGCCUAACUGCUAAGUCAUUCUAUAGUGGAGGGAUGGCGGGUUAAUUCCUUAAAACAUCAAGGGCUUUUUAUAAAUCUGCUCGGCGCGCUACAGGCGGAGGGGUACAGAGACUUUCAGGCCGUUGGAUCUACAUCCAGUGGUCUGGAUUAGAUCCAGCCCCCCGUGAAUAGGUACGCUACAACAGCCACAGGAUCGAGGAUCGACGGUCUGUAACUAACAAAGGUCGAACCAUUGAUACCCAUUCGAUCCUGAUCGGACGGAUCAUCGAUCGUCUGGACGAAACGGUCCCCGACUUCAAUCGUGGCCGCUCACGAGCUGAUCAACGGCCGAGGCUUCGUCUUCCACAACCCACCUCAGCCACGGCGGCGGAGUCACCACCCCGGCGGUGCGCCCACCGGCAACAUGGCCGAUCGACCUCAUUUGCCCAAACCCAAGCGCUAAUUGGUGCAAACGGAAGAGACAGAGAUGCAGAACCAAAUGGAGACCUUCCUACCUGAAAUAGUGGUGACAGCCGUGCUGCCGACGACACGGUGUGGAUUGGUGAGCGCCGUCGUGCAAUUGUCGGCGUCCCGACCACGGCCCACGCCUGACGAGGCCACAUAUAUGUGCGGAGGGAUCCUUCGCUGCCCCAGUACCACCUGUCGAGGCUGGAGGAUCGCACAUGGGCAGAUCGAUGGCGGCAGCGGCAAUCUCUUCUCCCCGCACCCCCCAUCCAUGUGCCUACGGCACCAAGUUGUACACGGCUUCGGCUGGGUGGGGAGUCAUAAUCCUCGUGCUUUAUAGAGUCGCGGCGGAAUCCGGCCAGAGGAGAUCACGGAGUGGGGGUCGGAGUUUCUUUCGAAGCUCACGAUUGUUGCGGUCGAGUUUGUUGCGGCUUACAGUUGAAGAUCCCACACGCGGGGCCCUUGUGUCGAACCAUCAGUGCGUGCUCGUACGUGGUGGAAGGGGACUGAGCCGAGAAAGUUCGUGGCGAGAUCAUCGGGGGUUGUCGCAUGCACGGUGCGCAUGAGAAGUCCGCCAGUGCGCCCACCGGCAUCUGUUUCAGUCCGUCCCAAGGAGGACGACGACCGCUAGGCCGGGUCCACCGUGCAGUGGCACAGGGUGCAACUCCUAAUGCGCGUGGGUGGCGACCAGUGUAGGGGAGGGCCCAUUUAGCGGGUUGGUGGUUCGGAU